rnacentral:rRNA from 1 species
GACGAACGCUGGCGGCGUGCUUAACACAUGCAAGUCGAGCGGUAAGGCCCUUUCGGGGGUACACGAGCGGCGAACGGGUGAGUAACACGUGGGUGACCUGCCCUCAGCUCUGGGAUAAGCCUGGGAAACCGGGUCUAAUACUGGAUAUGACUCCAUGACGCAUGUUGUGGGGUGGAAAGCCUUGUGCGGCUGAGGAUGGGCCCGCGGCCUAUCAGCUUGUUGGUGGGGUGAGGCCUACCAAGGCGACGACGGGUAGCCGGCCUGAGAGGGCGACCGGCCACACUGGGACUGAGACACGGCCCAGACUCCUACGGGAGGCAGCAGUGGGGAAUCUUGCGCAAUGGGCGAAAAGCCUGGCGCAGCGACGCCGCGUGAGGGAUGACGGCCU